UGACAUCCAAGAGUGCCAUGUGUCAUCGCCGGUGGUGAAACCCAUCGAACGUCCACCCCACCUCCAGAAGAGUGUCCAACCCCUCGUCCCCUCAUAGUUUUAUUUUGCACGGCUAUCUGUGUGAUUUUCCCACAAUCCUGUAGUGCGCCGAAAUAGUUUGCCAGAGCAUCAAAGUAACCCGUCCCACCACCGCCCGGAUCGAAUCCGCCGCAGAAUCAGAGAAGAGAGAGCAGAGAUUACACCGUAGCUUUUAGUGUUCGGAAAAGUGGAAAAUUUUCAUCGAGGGGUUUUCAGUGUGUGUAAGUGGGUGUUUGUGCGCCGUUUUGGGUAGUUUGGAGUGAGCAGAGGGAGCGAGAAGACCCGAGGAAACCGCGGCCAAUACACGGCGAAGCAACAGAAGCAGCAAUAAUGGGCAAGAAGAAUUCGAAACUAAAGCAGGACACCAUCGAUCGGUUGACGACGGCGACAUACUUCACAGAAAAGGAAAUUCGACAAUGGCACAAAGGAUUCCU